GAUGAAGAACGUAGCGAAAUGCGAUACGUAAUGUGAAUUGCAGAAUUCAGUGAAUCAUCGAGUCUUUGAACGCACAUUGCGCCCCCUGGUAUUCCGGGGGGCAUGCCUGUCCGAGCGUCAUUGCUGCCCUCAAGCACGGCUUGUGUGUUGGGUCUCGUCCCCCUUCCCGGGGGGACGGGCCCGAAAGGCAGCGGCGGCACCGCGUCCGGUCCUCGAGCGUAUGGGGCUUUGUCACCCGCUCUGUAGGCCCGGCCGGCGCUUGCCGAUCAACAAAACUUUUUUCCAGGUUGACCUCGGAUCAGGUAGGGAUACCCGCUGAACUUAAGCAUAUCAAUAAGCGGAGGA
rnacentral:misc_RNA from 1 species